rnacentral:rRNA from 1 species
AGAGUUUGAUCCUGGCUCAGAUUGAACGCUGGCGGCAUGCCUUACACAUGCAAGUCGAACGGCAGCACGGGAGCAAUCCUGGUGGCGAGUGGCGAACGGGUGAGUAAUGUAUCGGAACGUACCUUUCAGUGGGGGAUAACGUAGCGAAAGUUACGCUAAUACCGCAUAUUCUGUGAGCAGGAAAGCAGGGGAUCGCAAGACCUUGCGCUGAUUGAGCGGCCGAUAUCAGAUUAGCUAGUUGGUGAGGUAAAGGCUCACCAAGGCGACGAUCUGUAGCGGGUCUGAGAGGAUGAUCCGCCACACUGGAACUGAGACACGGUCCAGACUCCUACGGGAGGCAGCAGUGGGGAAUUUUGGACAAUGGGGGCAACCCUGAUCCAGCCAUGCCGCGUGAGUGAAGAAGGCCUU